GAUUGGACAGAGCCCUUACCAAAAGAAGUAGUACCCAUAAUAAUGGCACGAUUAUGGUCUUGUAGAGCGCCUGCAACAAUUUCAGAAGCUGAAGCAGAACCCUCAUUCAUUAGCACAACAAUAGCUGCACCGCUGAUAAUGUCACCCGGUUUAGCUGGGAAGUUGAUAUUAGAGCUUUUAAUUCUGCCUUCAGUGUAAACAACAGUCCCCUCUGUAUCAAUGAAUAAAUUUGCAAUAUCAAUUGCUGAGACCAGCGCUCCCCCAGGAUUAUUUCUUA
rnacentral:ncRNA from 1 species